AGAGUUUGAUCAUGGCUCAGGACGAACGCUUGCGGCGUGCCUAAGAAAUGCAAGUCGAGCGGGGGCUUCGGCCCUAGCGGCGAACGGUCGCGUAACACGUAAGCAACCUGCCUCCAAGACCGGGACAACAUCUCGAAAGGGGUGCUAAUACCGGAUGUGCCCACAGGCUGAUGGUCUGUGUGUAAAGCGAGCAAUCGGCUUGGGGAGGGGCUUGCGGCCUAUCAGGUAGUUGGUGGGGUAACGGCCUACCAAGCCUACGACGGGUAGCUGGUCUGAGAGGAUGGUCAGCCGGACUGGGACUGAGAUACGGCCCAGACUCCUACGGGGGGCAGCAAUUAGGAAUCUUGUGCAAUGGGGGCAACCCUGACACAGCGACGCCGCGUGGGGGAGGAAGGCCUUCGGGUCGUAAACCCCUUUUGGCAGGGAAGAAACAAAUGACGGUACCUGCCGAAUAAGCCACGGCUAACUCCGUGCCAGCCGCCGCGGUAAUUC
rnacentral:rRNA from 1 species